UGAGGUGGCGGGAGGGAGAGCCACAGGAGCCAGCCGUGCCACAAAGGAUCCACAGAGCCCCUCAGCAUCAGCAGGGCUGUCCCUAACCUCUGCAGGUACAUAUGCCUUGCACAUUAAGGAGACAAGUUCCCCGGCUCAGGAAAAUGCCCCAGGACUGCACAAAGACCCCGUGUCAGGCCCGAGGGAUACAGCCGGGAGCUGAUAGAGACCUGCCUCUGUGGAGCUCACCAUUGCUACCUUCUACAUUCAGACAUGACAUCCCUUUAGCCAAGGAGCAGGAGAAUGGAUGGGACUUGAGGAUGGCAGCAGAAAGUAGGGAGACGCCCCGAGCGAGCUGAGCCAGCCGAGCCGGGAGUGGCAAACGGGAGCCCGAACGCGAGGACGCCUGAGCGCGCGCUGGAGCAGGCGCUGGAGCCGGGGCCGGAGCCGCGCGGGGCUCCGCGUGCCGAGCGGCGGGAACGCGAACCCGCGUGGGCGCUCGGCCAGGACCAGGACCUGGGCCCGGGCCCGAGCCUGACGCGAGGUGGGGAGACAGCGGGGCUCUCGAGCGCCUAGGGACUAGGUAGGGGCGGGGAAGUAGGAGCAGCGCCACCCCCCCCCCCUCCCCUCCCGGGCCGGCCCCGAGUUAGCCUCACCCACCAGAGGUCAGAGAACUUGAACGGAUUAUACAGCUGACCCCUGCACCCCACCCCUACCCCCGUUAUAUAAGUCAGCGCUACACCCUACAAUAAAUGUCAGCAAGUUUUUAUUUUCCCCACGAUAACUGCUUUGAUGCUUUUUUUGACAUCUCAAAUAUCCUUUUUUUUUCCUCCUGUAAUUUUUAAUUUUUUUUUUCGGGGACCUCUGCUGUGCUCGUGCCCCCUGC